rnacentral:lncRNA from 1 species
AGCUUGGAGUUCGAAAAGUGAGAAGGUGAGCUACGAGUGUCGUGAGCCCACCAAAUUUUAGGAAGAUCUUCAACAUCCUCUCAAGCAUGUCUGCUAUCAAUCCAGAGCAUCCAAAAAAUUGGCAGACAUCGAUCGAAAGAGUUCGAUCAGUAUCGAUCGUCGAAAGGGUUCUACAACGAGCUAGCACUCGUGAGGAGUCGA